rnacentral:lncRNA from 1 species
ACCUUCAUAGGCAUAACCACCUUAAGAGUCUGGAAUAUUCCCAGAGUCUGAAUCUCUACCAGAGUCUGAAUCACCAUCAAAAUCUGGAUUAAAAUCAGAUUCACCUUCAGAGUCAAACUCGUCUUCAGAGUCAGAUUCAACUUCAAAAUCAUCUUCUGAUUCUGACUCAUCUUCAGAACUUUCAGAUUCUGAACAAUUUUCAGAAGUUAACUCACCAGAGUUAGAUUGAGAUUUACUCAAAUCCACGCUUCUA